ACUGUCUAUGAUGAUUAUUAUCCCCCUUGCUUGAGUUUAACAGCCAUGAAAAAACUCACAUGCACUACCAUCUGAGACAGG
ensembl:snoRNA SNORD33 Small nucleolar RNA Z195/SNORD33/SNORD32 family